UACGGGGGGGGCAAGCGUUGUUCGGAAUUACUGGGCGUAAAGGGCUCGUAGGUGGCCAACUAAGUCAGACGUGAAAUCCCUCGGCUUAACCGGGGAACUGCGUCUGAUACUGGAUGGCUUGAGUUUGGGAGAGGGAUGCGGAAUUCCAGGUGUAGCGGUGAAAUGCGUAGAUAUCUGGAGGAACACCGGUGGCGAAGGCGGCAUCCUGGACCAACACUGACGCUGAGGAGCGAAAGCCAGGGGAGCAAACAGG
rnacentral:rRNA from 1 species